CCUACGGGUGGCAGCAGUGAGGAAUAUUGGUCAAUGGCCGUAAGGCUGAACCAGCCAAGUCGCGUGAGGGAAGACGGCCCUAUGGGUUGUAAACCUCUUUUAUCGGGGGAUAAAGUUGUCCACGUGUGGAUGAUUGCAGGUACCCCAUGAAUAAGGACCGGCUAAUUCCGUGCCAGCAGCCGCGGUAAUCCGGAAGGUCCGGGCGUUAUCCGGUUUUAUUGGGUUUAAGGGGUGCGUGGGGCGGUCUUUAAGCGGGCCGGGAAAGUUUGUGGCUCAAGCACGAGAGUGCCGUGCAAACUGGAGAGCUGGAGUGCGCGGGAGGCAGGCGGAAUGCGUGGUGUAGCGGUGAAAUGCUUAGAUAUCACGAAGAACACCGAUUGCGAAGGCAGCCUGCCGCAGCGCAACUGACGCUGAAGCUCGAAAGCGUGGGUAUCGAACAGGAUUAGAUACCCGGGUAGUC
rnacentral:rRNA from 1 species